AUUGAACGCUGGCGGCAUGCCUUACACAUGCAAGUCGAACGGCAGCACGGGAGCAAUCCUGGUGGCGAGUGGCGAACGGGUGAGUAAUAUAUCGGAACGUGCCCGGUCGUGGGGGAUAACGUAGCGAAAGCUACGCUAAUACCGCAUACGAUCUACGGAUGAAANCGGGGGAUCGCAAGACCUCGCGCGAUUGGAGCGGCCGAUAUCAGAUUAGGUAGUUGGUGAGGUAAAGGCUCACCAAGCCGACGAUCUGUAGCUGGUCUGAGAGGACGACCAGCCACACUGGGACUGAGACACGGCCCAGACUCCUACGGGAGGCAGCAGUGGGAAUUUUGGACAAUGGGCGCAAGCCUGAUCCAGCAAUGCCGCGUGCAGGAUGAAGGCCUUCGGGUUGUAAACUGCUUUGUACGGAACGAAACGGUGAGCUCUAAUACAGUUUGCUAAUGACGGUACCGUAAGAAUAAGCACCGGCUAACUACGUG
rnacentral:rRNA from 1 species